AUACUUACCUGGGAGGGGAGAUGCCACGAUCACGAAGGUGGUUUUCCCAGGGCGAGGCUUAUCCAUUGCCCUCUGGAUGUGCUGACCUCUGCGGUUUCCCCAAAUGUGGGAAACUUGACUGCAUAAUUUGUGGGAGUGGGGACUGCAUUUGCACUCUCCCC
rnacentral:snRNA from 1 species